AAAGAGAAUUAGAAGAAUUAGAGAAAAAUAAAUAAAUAAAUAAAAUGAGGAUCAAGAGAGCAAGAUAUUCUAUACAAAAUUUUAUAGUAGGACUAACCAAAUUAAAGUCAUUACAAAAUAAAAGUGUUUUUAUUGCUUUCUUAUUUACUGAGGAUGAGAUGGUGUUAAGGUACAUUUCAAACUCUUUAAAAAAAAACUAUAAAAAUUGGUUUGUUGUUGGAGAAUUUACAUUUAUGGAUAUAGAAUUUCCCAAUAAAAUAAAUUAAAUUGGUAACAAAGCAGGCUUUUUUAUCGGGAUCAGAGUCAAAGUAUCCAAAAAUAAUGUCUUUAAAGGUUACUGAUAUAUCUUGCUGGAUAUUAUCUUUAAUAAACUUGUCAAUAGGCUACUUUCCCAUAGUUGUUUAGUAUAGAAACAUGACCAAAAUAAAUGAUAAACAGUUUCUGUGUGAACUUGGCAAAAUGAGCAUCUUGUGUCAAUAUUACUCUUAUAUUUAAUCAUGAAAUAUUUAGCUGGGUAAAAUGUAUUUAUUAUUUUGAAGGAUACUUCUUUAACUUUAUUUGUUAAAAAAAUAUUUUUGUGGUAAGGACCGAAUCUUUUCCAAAUUUACAUUUUUAAAUAAUCUACUCCAGUAUGAAAUUACAGGAGAAACAGAAACUAUAUCUAAGAAAGAGGGAUCUAACUUUAUUAUUUCUAUCUUUUUUUCCUGAAAAACAAAUAAAUUCAGAAUUCUACCUGGCUUCCCUUGUUUAAUCCACAGCAACAGCAACACCAAUCAACGAUUGGUUGAUUCAACGAAGACUUAUCAACGAUUGGUCGGCUACUAAGCUGCAUACCACUUAAUUAACCACACCCGUUUCUCACAGGAAAGGUGGCGGGUUUUCUACCUGCUGCUGAUUGUUGUUAACAAUCUUGAUUGAUUUCUUGUUCAUUCAGAGAAGAUGGAGGAGAUCGUGGAUGACAGACGAAGCGCAAACACAGACAGGGAACCGGCGAGUAGAGUAACACAGGAGACAGGAGACAUGGAGGACCAGGAAGACAGGAGCAUUGCAGUUUUUCGUGUGAGAGUCCUGCCCUUCUGACCUUUGGAGGCUCAUACUGUUCAAUAAGGGUAUGAAUCCACAUUCUUGCCUUGACACUGUUGACUGGACCUAAUGGUGUGUUGUCAAUGAUAGCACAAGCAUUCACUACAGUGAAGACACCGCAGUCAUACCCAUUUCCUUGUUGUGGAGUAUUCACCACAUCUGAAGUUUUCCAGUCAGAAGCCUGAAAGGUUUCUGUUGCUGAAGUGUACAUGCAAGCUACUACUUUCAUUAGUUUUGGAGCAGCAUGCUUCAAAGUUUUAAGACUGUGGAUUGAAUUGAACACUGAGAUUUCUCGCUCUCUGAAAUUUACAGUGGCAAGAACCCAGUGAUAACCACAGCCAGUAAUGUCAGUGUUGAAGGGUAUUAUGAUUAGAUCAUAAUUUAGAGCCUUUUUUGCAGCACAAAACUGCAAAAUUGGAGUAAAGUCUUCUAGUGCAGCUAGCUGGUAAAGGUAUGUGGGUACACAUAGAAUUGAGUCUGACUUUUUUUGUUGGUGAAUGAAGACAUUAAUUGCCUGCUCAAUUGUUUCCCCUUCAAGCCAGGUCAUUGGAGAUAGACAGCGGCUUUUGGGAGAGACCUUUGCCCAGUCAUGAAUGUCAUUGAUGCCCAUCCAAGGAGCAAAGGAAUCCCCUGCACUGUUUGGUGUAGAUACUCUGGAAAGAUGUGGUUCUAGAGGCAGACUGUCACCAUUUGAAAGCCAAAACUGCAUUCAAAGAAAUUGAUGGCAUGCUGUCCACCAAAGAGGCGGAUUCAUAUGAGCACCCAAACUGGCAA